UCGGCAGGGUAGCCUAGUAGUUAGAGUGUAGGGGCGGCAGGGUAGCCUAGUGGUUAGAGUGUAGGGGCGGCAGGGUAGCCUAGUGGUUAGAGUGGAGUGGAGGGGCGGCAGGGUAGCCUAGUGGUUAGAGUGUAGGGGCGGCAGGGUAGCCUAGUGGUUAGAGUGUAGGGGCGGCAGGGUAGCCUAGUGGUUAGAGUGUAGGGGCGGCAGGGUAGCCUAGUGGUUAGAGAGUAGGGGCGGCAGGGUAGCCUAGUGGUUAGAGUGGAGGGGCGGCAUUUUAGCCUAGUGGUUAGAGUGGGGGCGGGGCGGGAG
ensembl:lncRNA